UGAAGAGACCGCCAUGGACAAGUCCCUUGUCAGAUACCAGAAACAGUGAGAGAACAACCUGAAGGUAAUUCUCUUUACAGCAGCAUCCAGGCCUCCACCGAGUAUGGACAGGAGUCACAGCUGUUGACUGAGAUCUCUGAUGGAAGUUGUCGAACCAGAUCCGAACGCUUCGAGGACCACCUUCUGUCCCGGACUGAGAAGGAAGUGGAGGUUUUUGACCAGGUGAGACUGAACAUCAACAAGGCGCAGGAGAAACUGAAGGAGAGCUACAGGAGCAGAAUCAAGGAGACCAAGUACUACGACAUCCGGGUGUAUUACUUGGUUUGGAACAAGGACAAAAGGAAGGCGAGAGCUGGGAAACCUCGCUGCUCUUUCACUCCUAGCUGGGGUCACCAUCAGAUAAGAUGAAUAUAAAACAUCUCAGAUAAUAACUAUUUGCAUUUGCACAAGAAAAUAACCUGAAGCUAGUUUUAGUUUCCAUAACAUUGAUAUUUUAAUCUGUCUUCCUAGGGUUACCUUGGUGGAAGCCAACAAUAUUCUCCAGUUGGACGGUCGACCACUGAAUGCCCUGACGUCCUACACUUCGGUGAAGCCCAAAAGACAAAGCCCAGCACUGCAAACACUCAGAACAAAGGGAGCAGCUGUGCCUGGACUUUGCAGUCUCCCUCUUCAAGUCCCCUUUCUGAGACUGUUGAGAACAAGUGACAAGCAGAACUUCUCACCCACACAUCAAACACCUCUAUAUUCCACACACCAGAAUUCAGUACUUGAGUCUAUGAUUGCCAUGUGAAUGUACAAAAAAUCUGUGAAAAUAAA